rnacentral:rRNA from 1 species
GACGAACGCUGGCGGCGUGCUUAACACAUGCAAGUCGAACGGAAAGGCCCUGCUUUUGUGGGGUGCUCGAGUGGCGAACGGGUGAGUAACACGUGAGUAACCUGCUCUUGACUUUGGGAUAACUUCAGGAAACUGGGGCUAAUAUCGGAUAGGAGCUCCUGCUGCAUGGUGGGGGUUGGAAAGUUUCGGCGGUUGGGGAUGGACUCGCGGCUGAUCAGCUUGUUGGUGGGGUAGUGGCUUACCAAGGCUUUGACGGGUAGCCGGCCUGAGAGGGUGAACGGCCACAUUGGGCCUGAGAGACGGACCAGACUCCUACGGGAGGCAGCAGUGGGGAAUAUUGCACAAUGGGCGGAAGCCUGAUGCAGCAACGCCGCGUGCGGGAUGACGGCCUUCGGGUUGUAAACCGCUUUCGCCUGUGACGAAGCGUGAGUGACGGUAAUGGGUAAAGAAGCACCGGCUAACUACGUG